GGAGUCUAGCAUGUGCGCGAGUCAUUGGGACUCUCUAAACCUAAAGGCGCAAUGAAAGUGAAGGUCCGCCUCGCGCGGACCUAGGGAGGAUGGGUCGGUCCCCGGACCGACCCCGCACUCCCGGGGCGUCUCGUUCUCACUGCGAGAGGAGGCGCACCCAGAGCGUACACGCUGGGACCCGAAAGAUGGUGAACUAUGCCUGGUCAGGACGAAGUCAGGGGAAACCCUGAUGGAGGUCCGUAGCGAUUCUGACGUGCAAAUCGAUCGUCGGAACUGGGUAUAGGGGCGAAAGACUAAUCGAACCAUCUAGUAGCUGGUUCCCUCCGAAGUUUCCCUCAGGAUAGCUGGCGCUCGCCGUGUGCGAGUCUCAUCCGGUAAAGCGAAUGAUUAGAGGCAUUGGGGUCGAAACGGCCUCAACCUAUUCUCAAACUUUAAAUGGGUGAGAUCUCCGGCUUGCUCGAAAGAUGAAGCCGCGAGAUUUCGGAUCAGAGUGCCAAGUGGGCCACUUUUGGUAAGCAGAACUGGCGCUGUGGGAUGAACCAAACGCCGAGUUAAAGCGCCCAAAUCGACGCUUAUGGGAUACCAUGAAAGGCGUUGGUAACUUAAGACAGCAGGACGGUGGCCAU
rnacentral:rRNA from 1 species